UACGUAGGCAGCAAGCGUUGUUCGGAGUUACUGGGCGUAAAGGGUGUGUAGGCGGUUGUUUAAGUUUGGUGUGAAAUCUCCCGGCUCAACUGGGAGGGUGCGCCGAAUACUGAAUGACUAGAGUGCGGGAGAGGAAAGUGGAACUCCGGGAGUAGCGGUGAAAUGCGUAGAGACCCGGAGGAACACCAGUGGCGAAGGCGGCUCCCUGGCCUAGUACUGACGCUGUGGCGCGAAAGCUAGGGGAGCAAACAGG
rnacentral:rRNA from 1 species